AUGGCAUCAUCCAGUUCAAGCUCCGGGUCCAGCUCCAGUCUUACAAGCAGAGACAGCUGGGCUACUAUAGGUAGCAAUGGAGGUACGGAGCCAACAAAUUUAACCAUCCGAAUACUACAGGACAUCACGGAUAAUUUCUCUGAGGAACGAUCACUUGGUCAGGGUGCGUAUGGAAAAGUUUACAAGGGGGUGCAUGAAAAUGGAGAAAAGAUUGCUGUAAAGUUGCUUCAUAAUAAUAUGCAAGUAAUUGAUGACAAACUAUUCAAGCAAGAGUUUACUAACCUUAUGAUGCUCAACCAUGAGAAUAUUAUCCGAUUGGUUGGCUACUGCUAUGAAACACAACAUCAGGAUAUGGAAUUCCAAGGAAAAAUAAUUUUUGGUGAAAUGAUAUGUAAAGCGCUUUGUUUUGAGUAUAUGCACAAGGGAAGCCUUCAGAAGCAUCUUUAUGGGCUUGACUGGGACAAACGUUACAAAAUCAUUAAGGGGACUUGUGAGGGCCUAAAAUACCUCCACGAAGGAUUCAAAGAACCAAUUUACCAUUUGGACCUGAAACCAGAAAAUAUAUUGUUAGAUGAGUAUAUGAUGCCAAAGCUUGCUGACUUUGGUUUGUCCAAGCUUUUUGGUGAAGAACAAACUAGAGUCACACAAUCUCCUCUAGGAACAAUUGGAUACAUGCCGCAUGAAUACUUAUUUAAAGGCAUUGUCUCGAAGAAGGUAGACAUAUUCAGCUUGGGUGUUGUAAUGAUAAAGAUUAUUACAGGGCCUAAAGGGCACUCCAGAAGUGCCGAAAUGCCUUACGAAGAAUUUCUUGAUGAAGUACAGGAAAACUGGAGGAACAGAUUCCAGGCAACAUUAAGUUCAUCCCAGCCACUAGAAGGUUACUGUCAGCAAGUGAACAUAUGCACUAAAAUAGCACUCAGCUGCAUGGAGACUGAUAGGCACAAAAGGCCCACAAUAUUGGAUAUCAUAGAUAAAUUGAAUGAGACUGAAACUAUGAUUGAUGAGGCGUCUUCAUGGUCGGAGUGUAUGAGUUCAUGGAUGCGCGGAGACUUGAUGAAGUUAGAAGCCUUUACAAAAUGUGAAGCAAUUCCACGUGCAAAGACGUGCAGUGAGUUCCCUGUCAUGCUGCGGAUCACUGGGGAACAAUGGCGUGGCGUGGAAGAGAUGCCACGUGCAGGCGUGGACGUCGUGGUGGUGGUUGAAGUCGACUGGUUCAUGGUGCGUCAAGGGAGGAUGGAUAUCAUCAAGGAAGCUCUUAUGAUUGUCAUCGACAAGCUCGGCCCCAACGACCGGCUCUCCAUCUUGUCAUUCGAGGGUAACGUGCCCCGAAUUAUGAAGCUCACGUUCAUGUCCGACCGAGGCCGGGAUGCUUUGAAGCUCAUGGUCAACGAGCUGUCCGCGAACCAUAGCUACAACAUAGUCGCUGCUCUGCAAGUGGGAGCUGAGAUUCUGAGAGAUGGUCAAGCGGAGGAGGCGGGUGACAGUCGCAUUGGCUGCAUCAUGUUCGUGUCGGAUAGCAGUGACACGCGGAUCAGGAACAGGUACAAUGAUGUAAUCACCAAGGAAUUUCCGGCUUACGUCUUCGGUCUGGGAGAGCAACACCACCCGGAGGUCAUGAAGUACAUAGCCGACAUGACCGGCGGCACCUGCUCUUUCGUCGACUACGACCUCAACGAGAUGAGAGAUGCCUUUGAGCUGUUCAUCAGCGGCCUCACAAAAAUCGCCGCAACAUCCAUCAAGAUCACCCUCAGGGCGCACGAGGGUGUGUCUAUAUCAUCCAUCUACUCCAGAGGAUUCUACAACCGCGUGAGCUCUGACAGACGCUCCGGCGAGAUACACGUCGACAACAUGUACGCCGGCGAGCGGAAGAACUUCAUCGCCUACCUUAGUGUCGCAGGUGGCAACAAGGAGAAGCUAAUGACCGCUGGCGGACGGUACAGGAGCUUCAUGGCACAUCAGAAGCUGGCCGACACGGACGUCUUGGUCCUGCGACCAGGUUCGGCAUGCUCACCUGGCAAGAACACCAUCCACCCUCAGGUGGCGGCCGAGCUUGUGCGGAUCGGGCUUUGGAAUGGCCUGUUGGAGAUAGGUAGAAGCGCUUAUGAGCUGGAAGAGCUAUGGGUCGGCAUCAAGCGCUCUGAGGAGGGCGGCGGCGCAGCCAAGGAAACCUUGUUGGAGCUCGGUAAAGACGUGGCUGAAAUUAAGAGAGAGUUCGCCGUCGGCCUGCCGCCUCCUUAUUUUAUUUCUUGGCUGAAUUGCCACGAGUGGCAGCGUGCAACCACCAAGGGCACACGCCGCGUCUCCGGUGCUUUCACCGUGCCGGGGCAGCAUGAAGAUGCAGAUGCAAAGGUUGACAACAGGGGCCACGAUUAA
rnacentral:rRNA from 1 species